rnacentral:rRNA from 1 species
GAUGAACGCUGGCGGCGUGCCUAAUACAUGCAAGUCGAGCGAAUGGAUUAAGAGCUUGCUCUUAUGAAGUUAGCGGCGGACGGGUGAGUAACACGUGGGUAACCUGCCCAUAAGACUGGGAUAACUCCGGGAAACCGGGGCUAAUACCGGAUAACAUUUUGAACCGCAUGGUUCGAAAUUGAAAGGCGGCUUCGGCUGUCACUUAUGGAUGGACCCGCGUCGCAUUAGCUAGUUGGUGAGGUAACGGCUCACCAAGGCAACGAUGCGUAGCCGACCUGUAAGGGUGAUCGGCCACACUGGGACUGAGCCACGGCCCAGACUCCUACGGGAGGCAGCAGUAGGGAAUCUUCCGCAAUGGACGAAAGUCUGACGGAGCAACGCCGCGUGAGUGAUGAAGGCUUUCGGGUCGUAAAACUCUGUUGUUAGGGAAGAACAAGUGCUAGUUGAAUAAGCUGGCACCUUGACGGUACCUAACCAGAAAGCCACGGCUAGCUACGUGCCAGCAGCCGCAGUAA